AGUACACUUCUUCUUCUCUAAUGAUAGAAGAUUUCUGAAGGCUGAUAUGAGAGAAAAUCUCAAUGGUACUAACCCGUCUGAGGUUUCGCCACAAGUGACCAUAUGGAGCCCAAACUGGGGCAGUACAGUUAUAAGUAAGACGAUCCCCAGCCAUAGUUUGGGGACGAUUUGCAAAUAUUAUGUCAUUUUUGGUGAAACAUUCUUCAACAGCUGAAGGAGAAGAUACAACUAGGAUAGACCUUGAACCAAACUUAAGAGAUAGGAUUGGACCGUACUGCAAUGAUAGGGUCUCUAGUGUUUUGUGGAGUGGCUGUUUCAGGAGGUGAAGGUGGCCGAUUAUUGGUAGAGAAAAUGGACUUGGUGGUAAAUUUUUGUUAUGGUGGCGGUUUAGAAGUUUGAUAAUGAAAACAGUGGAGAGGAUCAAAGCAAGGUAGAAGUAAAAGUUUUCCAUGGCGAAGCAGAGCAAUAGUUU